rfam:Dolosigranulum pigrum ATCC 51524 genomic scaffold supercont1.1, whole genome shotgun sequence.
GGUUGGGCGUAUUGCUUUCAAGAUGUGGCCUUUUUGGGUGAGGGGGC